UGACGGGACCACGAGAUCAUGACCUGAGCUGAAGUUGGAGGCUUACCGGACUGAACCACCCAGAUUGGUUUUCCCUCCCAACUGUGCUUUGAAUUCUGUUAUCUCCAAGGUUGGAGCUGGAGCGGGAGCUGGGAUUACAGAAAGUGUGGAGGAAGGCACAACUUUUUAGCUGGUGGAUACAGUAUCAGCUCUGUGGGCUCAAUAGAAUUCUCAAGGCCUUGCACCAAGAACAAAGGUCGGAAAGAGAAGUUUGUUCACAGUUCCUGACUGAACGGGGAGAAGACAUUUAAUGGAAACAUGAACCUCAUGCCUGGGUCUCCUGGAACUUGUAGCUGAACCUAGGAGUUUGUGGCCAAGCCUACCAACCACAUCCCCCAACGAUUUCUUCUCUUUUGGCACGUUGGUCUUGGAGUUGGGAGAGGAGAGCACCCAGUCCAUUCUUAUCUUUAAAGAGAGAAGAAACAGCGAAGUCUGUGACAUUCAGGUUUCUGUGCCCUCUCUCCUCUCGCUGGUCAUCUUGCCCAGCUCAGCAGACUGUGCAUACCCAGCUCACUAGCCAGAGAACUGGCUAGCUCAGGCAGCUGGUGAGUCAAGAGUGUGCUCAAGUGUGGUUGUCAAGAGUGGUACAGCCAAUCUCCCACAUCUUAGCCUUUUCUGAGCACCUGAGCCCUGCGGUAGCAUCAGACUGGGCGGCACAAACGGGCGUGCAGCCACGACAUGCGCAGUUCUGCGGUGACCACACCCUGUAGCUUUCUGUCCUUUGUCCUUUCAACAAACAUAGAUGGAGCAUCUACUAUAUAUCGGGCACUAGGGAUUCUUGGGGGAUACAGGUAUGAAUGUAACAUGAUCCUUGACCCAAGGAACUUCUAGUUUUCAUGGGAGACAAGCAUAUAAAUAAAACCUUCCAACAGACCCCUAGAUGUAAGCCAUAAUUCCUAGCCUGUGCUACUGAUGGUGGUAGGAGUUGGGAUAGAGAUCCUACUAGAAGUAACAGAUUUGCAUUGCUCUGACUCCCACCCACAGAAGUCUAGGAGUUUCUAGGGUCUUCCAUAAGGUUAUGAAGACCUCUUGGCUGCCACAGUGCAACACCGGUCUUCUUCCUCUGUCUGCCCAUGCUGACUGUGGUCAGCAGUCCUGGAUCCGGUGACAUGUAGAUAUGAAUGCCCGCCCAAGGGCAUUGUUCUGUUAACAACACUCCAGAGCUGUACUUCUGAAGGUAUAAGUCAAACUACAGUGGCAUUUGGGCUGCCCUAGUGCCUGCAACACUCCUGAACAUUGGAAACAUGCAUCGACUUCCUCCAGGUGGACGCAGCCCCAUGCAAGUGUGCAUGGCUCGGAUUCCUGAGAUGCUUUGGUGGAAUAGAAACUUCAAAGUAAUGCCAAGCAAGGUCCUAUAGUUUCUCGGGUGACCUGUUGCACAACCGUGCUAGAAAACUUCAAGUCUGUUAUUCAGAGAACUGAUAGAGAGAGAGCCUGUCUUUGGAAGCAAAGACCUGGGUCUGAAUCUGGACUCAGCCACUUACUACCUCUGUGUUCUUGGUGAUAAAGGCAAUCCUGUUUUCCCCCCUUUUCUUUAAAAAAAUUUUUUUUUAAUGUUUAUUUAUUUUUGAGAGAGACAGAGACCGGGUGUGAGCAGGGGAGGGGCAGAAAGAGAGGGAGACACAGAAUCCAAAGCAGGC